GACGAACGCUGGCGGCGUGCCUAAUACAUGCAAGUAGAACGCUGAAGGAGGAGCUUGCUUCUCCGGAUGAGUUGCGAACGGGUGAGUAACGCGUAGGUAACCUGCCUGGUAGCGGGGGAUAACUAUUGGAAACGAUAGCUAAUACCGCAUAACAGUAGAUAUCGCAUGAUAUCUGCUUGAAAGGUGCAAUUGCAUCACUACCAGAUGGACCUGCGUUGUAUUAGCUAGUUGGUGAGGUAACGGCUCACCAAGGCGACGAUACAUAGCCGACCUGGGAGGGUGAUCGGCCACACUGGGACUGAGACACGGCCCAGACUCCUACGGGAGGCAGCAGUAGGGAAUCUUCGGCAAUGGACGGAAGUCUGACCGAGCAACGCCGCGUGAGUGAAGAAGGUUUUCGGAUCGUAAAGCUCUGUUGUAAGAGAAGAACGAGUGUGAGAGUGGAAAGUUCACACUGUGACGGUAUCUUACCAGAAAGGGACGGCUAACUACGUG
rnacentral:rRNA from 1 species